rnacentral:rRNA from 1 species
UGCCAGCCGCCGCGGUAAUACAGAGGGUGCGAGCGUUGAUCGGAUUUACUGGGCGUAAAGCGUGCGUAGGCGGCUUCAUAAGUCGGAUGUGAAAUCCCUGAGCUUAACUUAGGAAUUGCAUUCGAUACUGGGAAGCUAGAGUAUGGGAGAGGAUGGUAGAAUUCACAGUGUAGCGGUGGAAUGCGUAGAUAUUGUGAAGAAUACCAAUGGCGAAGGCAGCCUCCUGGAUCUGUACUGACACUGAGGUGCGAAAGCGUAGGUAGCGAACAGGAUUAGAUA